rnacentral:rRNA from 1 species
UGCUACGGCCGUGCUACCCUGAAUGAACCCAAUCCUGUCUGAUCUCGGAAGCUAAGCAGGGUUGGGCCUGGUUAGUACUUGGAUGGGAGACCACCUAGGAAGACCAGGUGCUGUAGGCG